AAAAGUUAUAGAUAGUCUCCAACAGAGAGGUGUAGUGCAACUUGGGGCUUGUGCUGCCUUCGGCUUUAACAGUACGAGCUGGGUUGGCGAAUGUCUGCUUCAGUGGAGAUAAGCUCAAGGUGGCACAUGGAGAGUUAGAGACGUAGAGUACACAGUUCGAAGUUGAGGUCUUAGUUGAUGAGACACGUACAUGACCUGUCUUACAUCAUCACGAUAGACCAAUAUGAUAUAAAGGGGAUCGAUGGAAAUUUUUUCUCAUUUACACUUGCAAACCUAAGCCAAUUCAAUGUCUUUUAUUAUCGAUCAUAGGCUGCAGUCACACCAGAUCACUCUUCAUGAAGGCAAGGAAAACGUGAAUCACAGCUCUAGCCAUUCUGUUAUAACCCUCUCUAGAAAAUCAUAGCAUUUUUGUUAUAGCUUCUAGAAUUUUGUAAAAGAUUCUUCUCCCAGUUUUCAGGAAUUAAGUUAAGAUUCUUUGAGUAUAAAUACGAUCAGUUGUAACAGAUUUGAGCAAUGAAAUGAAAAUAUCUCUUUGAGCUUUCUCUC